GCAUCCAUGGCUGGUUGGUUAAAGCAUCAAAAUCAUAAUUAGCAAUUUCGUAGGUUCAAUUCCUAUUGGAUGCA
rnacentral:tRNA from 1 species